GGCAGUAAAGCUCAGUGGUAGAGUGCUUGCCUCACAUCUACAAGGCCCUGGGUUCGAUCCCUAGCACUCCCG
rnacentral:tRNA from 1 species